GCGUGCUAGUGAAUGAAUUAACUCAGCAAGCUCUUCCUGACAGCUGUGAUAGCGUGCCAAGCACUGCAUUAGGGACUAGGGGUGGGGAUGAUGAAGGCAGGGGCUGCUCCUGUAGCUGAGAUCUGGGGUUGACCUUCGGAGUCAGUGUGAGGAGGUCAGAGAAUGACCGAUUUGGGUUUUAGCCUACUAACUGAUCACUGAGAGCAACCCCAUGAACAUGCUAAGCAGGAUUAAAUUUAUCAGUGUUGGGACAGCUCUGUGGAGUAGCUGGAGCCAUCCCUGCGUUUGCCGCCGGGGUUAGGCUCAGAGGAGGAAUGCAACUUCUCAGAGAUUUAUAGCCAGCUUGUGACAUAGCAUGGAGUUGGUGGUCUGCUAUUACAGAACCAUGGGAUUAAAAGUUUCAUAUUGGAAGUGCAGUGUGAGUGGAAGAAAGACCUUCAUUCUGGAGGAUGCUCUGCUUGGCCUGGAUGCUGCCCAUCAGAAGCCCCAGCAAGACUGUUUUCAGCAGGAAUUCCCCAGGUUUGAUGACAUCAUUCUGCUCGCUGUCCCAGUACUGAGUGUCCUCCAAGCCUCACUUUUCCCCCUGCGGUCCGGCAGAGAAUGGUGGCGUCACCCUAGAGCGAGGAUUUGCAGACCAACUGGAGUGUCUCCUUCCUGAGCAUUCAGCCUACAAUCCCAAGGGACUGAGUUGGCUCCAGUGCAGUAUACAUGGAAGUGGUACUUGCUCUUUGGGGCUUGGCCUCAGAACUAUCCUGGAUGGAGGUCAGAGCUUACCGUAUGGUCAGGUCUGUCUUCGCAUAGCCGUCGUACUGUGUGCUCCUCUGCAGUGCAUGCAUAUCCAGUUCAGGACUGCCACAAACCAGGAUUUCUACUUCUUCUGGACGAAGCAGCUAUCAAUAAUCACAAAAACCAUAAUUCAAAAUGAUAGUCUUGCCGGGCAGUGGCGGUGCCCUCCUUUAAUCCCAGCACUCGGGAGGCAGAGGCAGGCGGAUUUCUGAGUUCGAGGCCAGCCUGGUCUACAAAGUGAGUUCCAGGACAGCCAGGGCUGCACAGAGAAACCCUGUCUUGAAAAUCCAAAUUUAAAAAAAUGAUAGUCUUAAAUGAAAUUUGAAGUGUUUUUAUUGCAGAAUCAAAUCAUAGAAAUUAUGACACUGUCUCAGUAAAUAAAAUUACUUUUUUGUUGAAGAAAA
rnacentral:lncRNA from 1 species